rnacentral:rRNA from 1 species
UACGUAGGGUGCAAGCGUUAAUCGGAAUUACUGGGCGUAAAGCGUGCGCAGGCGGUUAUGUAAGACAGAUGUGAAAUGCCCGGGCUUAACCUGGGAACUGCAUUUGUGACUGCAUGGCUAGAGUUUGGCAGAGGGGGGUAGAAUUCCACGUGUAGCAGUGAAAUGCGUAGAUAUGUGGAGGAACACCGAUGGCGAAGGCAGCCCCCUGGGUCAAGACUGACUCUCAUGCACGAAA